UACGUAGGUGGCAAGCGUUGUCCGGAUUUACUGGGCGUAAAGAGCGCGCAGGCGGUCGUUCAAGUCGCGUGUGAAAGCCCCCGGCUCAACUGGGGAGGGUCACGCGAUACUGGUCGACUCGAAGGCAGGAGAGGGUAGUGGAAUUCCCGGUGUAGUGGUGAAAUGCGUAGAUAUCAGGAGGAACACCGAUGGCGAAGGCAGGUCUCUGGGCCACUACUGACGCUGAGAAGCGAAAGCAUGGGGAGCGAACAGG
rnacentral:rRNA from 1 species